AUUGAACGCUGGCGGCAGGCCUAACACAUGCAAGUCGAACGAGUGGCGGACGGGUGAGUAAUGUCUGGGCAACUGCCUGAUGGAGGGGGAUAACUACUGGAACCGGUAGCUAAUACCGCAUACCAUCAGAUGUGCCCAGAUGGGAUUAGAUAGUUGGUGGGGUAACGGCGCACCAAGGCGCCGAUCCCUAGCUGGUCUGAGAGGAGGACCAGCCACACUGGAACUGAGACACGGUCCAGACUCCUACGGGAGGCAGCAGUGGGGAAUAUUGGACAAUGGGCGCAAGCCUGAUGCAGCCAGGCCGCGUGUAUGAAGAAGGCCUUCGGGUUGUAAAGUACUGUCAUCGGGGAGGCGUUACCCGCAGAAGAAGCACCGGCUAACUCCGUGCCAGCAGCCGCGGUAAUUC
rnacentral:rRNA from 1 species